CGUGCUCAGGACGAACGCUGGCGGCGUGCUUAACACAUGCAAGUCGAACGAUGAAGCCCUUCGGGGUGGAUUAGUGGCGAACGGGUGAGUAACACGUGGGCAAUCUGCCCUUCACUCUGGGACAAGCCCUGGAAACGGGGUCUAAUACCGGAUAACACUCCUCAGAGCAUUCUGGGGGGUUAAAAGCUCCGGCGGUGAAGGAUGAGCCCGCGGCCUAUCAGCUUGUUGGUGGGGUAAUGGCCUACCAAGGCGACGACGGGUAGCCGGCCUGAGAGGGCGACCGGCCACACUGGGACUGAGACACGGCCCAGACUCCUACGGGAGGCAGCAGUGGGGAAUAUUGCACAAUGGGCGAAAGCCUGAUGCAGCGACGCCGCGUGAGGGAUGACGGCCUUCGGGUUGUAAACCUCUUUCAGCAGGGAAGAAGCGAAAGUGACGGUACCUGCAGAAGAAGCGCCGGCUAACUACGUGCCAGCAGCCGCGGUAAUACGUAGGGCGCAAGCGUUGUCCGGAAUUAUUGGGCGUAAAGAGCUCGUAGGCGGCUUGUCACGUCGGAUGUGAAAGCCCGGGGCUUAACCCCGGGUCUGCAUUCGAUACGGGCUAGCUAGAGUGUGGUAGGGGAGAUCGGAAUUCCUGGUGUAGCGGUGAAAUGCGCAGAUAUCAGGAGGAACACCGGUGGCGAAGGCGGAUCUCUGGGCCAUUACUGACGCUGAGGAGCGAAAGCGUGGGGAGCGAACAGGAUUAGAUACCCUGGUAGUCCACGCCGUAAACGUUGGGAACUAGGUGUUGGCGACAUUCCACGUCGUCGGUGCCGCAGCUAACGCACU
rnacentral:rRNA from 1 species